rnacentral:ncRNA from 1 species
CUAACGUCUAUGAAGGAAAAAAGGUACAUGAUGGUUUUCAGAGAGCCGAUGGUUGGUGCAAAUCGGUAAACCAAAUGUUAUCUUUGAGCGAUCCUGAGUCACUGUAUUGAACUCAAGUAGGUACAGUCGGUUGAUCCCGUUAGCGAUCCGGUCAAUACAUUGACCAUAAGGCUGAUUCUUGUGAAAGAACAGCGAAUUAGGGUGGUACCACGACAGCUCUCGUCCCUUUG